rnacentral:tRNA from 1 species
GGGAGUGUAGCUCAGUGGUAGAGCGCAUGCUUGGCGUAGGUCCUGGGUUCAAUCCCCAGUGCCUCCG